CCUACGGGAGGCAGCAGUGGGGAAUAUUGCACAAUGGGGGAAACCCUGAUGCAGCGAAGCCGCGUGAGUGAAGAAGUAUCUCGGUAUGUUAAGCCCUAUCAGCAGGGAAGCAAAUGCCGGUACCUGACUACGAAGCACCGGCUGACUACGUGCCAGCUGCCGUGGUAAUACGGAGGGGGCAAGCGUUAUCCGGAUUUACCGGGUGUAAAGGGAGCGUAGUCGGCCAGACAAGUCAGAAGUGAAAGCCCAGGGCUCAACCCUGGGACUGCCUUUGAAACUGCCGGGCUCGAGUGCAGGAGAGGUAAGCGGAAUGCCUAGUGUAGCGGUGAAAUGCGUAGAUAUUAGGAAGAACACCAGUGGCGAAGGCAGCUUACUGGACUGUAACUGACGUUGAGGCACGAAAGCGUGGGGAGCGAACAGGAUUAGAUACCCUAGUAGUC
rnacentral:rRNA from 1 species